GCCCGGGACUUGCGCCAUUACUUUGAGAAAAGCCUCUUUUUAUUCGUCCCGGCGACUUGGACGGAAGCCCUGGUUCACAGCCAGGCCUCCCUCCUUCCCCCAAGGAUCGCCUUUAAAAGCUUUUGAAAGGGACACGGGGAGGCAGAAAACAGGCUGGUGCAGCAGAGGGCGGCCAGCAUUUCACUCCCAUGGACCAUGGCAACCCCAGAAGCUUUGCUGCUCCUGGGAGGAAUUUGCAGCUGUCAGGGAAACCCAAGAUUUGCUGCGACUGAGUGGUCCAGGACUGCUUCCCUGGUAAAGGGGCACAGAUAUAGACGUGCUAUCUGGAGCCAAAGCAGCAAUGUUGUUACCCUGAGGUAAUGAACAUGAAGACAAAAAUCAGCAGGCCAUGGGUGGUGAGUAUAUUUUUUAAAUUAUUAUUAUCCUAUAAAAAAUUGUAAGUUGGUAUAAGAACUCCUCAUCUCAAAUCUUCCUAUUCACUGUUUGCCCAUCAGGCCCUAAGCCCUGUGAAUCCUCUUGGCAUCUUAAAUCAAUUUUCCACAUGUUGCACCACAUUGGGUUUUCACUUUGUAACUAUGUGAA
rnacentral:lncRNA from 1 species